UACUUAUCACAUAAUCAGUUUAACGUACUUCAGACUAAGAUUGAAAACCACACAACACUGAACUAGAUAGGUACUAAAGAAACACGAAACUGAUAAAUCAGACAUUUUUGCACCAGAGAACAUAAACUUGAAAACAUGUUACCGGUUCCGUUACCACCUUCCAUCAUUAUGAUAGUGAUUUUAGUUCUAUUAAUUUUGUCUGCUGCUAUAGGUUUCUGGAAGUUCACUUUUACGUACUGGAAAAAGCGAAAAUGUAAUUUUCUGGAACCAACAAUCCCAUUCGGAAAUGCCCAAAAUUUCUUUCUCGGAAAAAGAGGUUUCGGAGAACUUUUUGGUGAUUGGUAUCUGGAAAUGAAAGCCAAAGGUUGGGAUAUGGGAGGUGCCUAUUUCACACGCAGACCCGUUUUCAUACCAAUCAAUAAUCAAUUGAUUAAGAGAAUAUUAGUCACAGAUUUUGCAUAUUUUCAAAAUCAUGGCUUAUAUAUCAAUGAAAAGACAGAUCCACUCUCUGGACAUCUCUUCAAUUUGGAGAACCGCAAGUGGAAGAACUUGCGAUCAAAAAUGCCAGCAGCUUUCUCUUCAAGUAAAUUGAAGAACUACACGGUUAUUAUGGCGAAUUUUACCGAAGUGUUAGUUAAUAGACUAAGAAAUAUGUCACAGUCUAAAUUACCAAUUGAAAUCAAGGAAGUUUUGAGUAAAUUUAACGUCGACGCAAUAUCCGCAUGCCUUUUUGGAAUUGAUACUAAAAGUCUUGAUAAUGAAAAUGUUGAAUUAAUGAAGCAUGGAAGGGCAUUCUUUGACAUUCAGUUCUGUCGAGUUGUUAACACAUUGGUACUGCUAAUUCCCAGGCCCAUUCUUACAUUUUUCAAGUUCAGGGUGUUUCCAACACAUGUAACGAAGUAUUUCAUGAAUUUCUUUUCCGAUAUUAAAGCUCAACGAGCAGGAGAAAACAUAAAAAGGAACGAUUUGACAGACAUAUUAAUUAAUUUAUGUGACAAAACGAAAAGUGUCUCCGAUAUUGGUGGUGAUGGUGUAAUGGAACCGUUAACAAGCACAGAGUUUGUUGCGCAAAUGCAUCUGUUUUUUGAAGCCGGCUUUGAAACUACCGGAAGUACCCAAACAUUUGCUCUAUAUGAAUUGGCUACCAAUCCAGAUAUUCAGAACCGAUUGCGAGUUGAAAUCAAUACUGUUUUGAACAAGUUUAAUGGAAUUGUUGGGUAUGAUGCAAUUACCGAAAUGAAAUAUUUAGAUCAAGUUAUUAAUGAAACGUUACGAAAAUAUCCCGUAUUUCCCAUCCUUCCAAGAUUAUGCGAAAACAAUUACCGAAUACCAAAUAGUAACGUUACCAUUGAAAAAGGGACGCUGGUAAUGGUGACGAACCUAGGAAUUCAUUACGAUCCCGAAUAUUAUCCUGAUCCAAUGCGUUUUGAUCCAGAGCGAUUUACGUCAGAAAAUAAAGCGAAGCGACCAUUUUGCUCGUUCAUGCCGUUUGGUGAAGGACAACGAAGUUGCGUUGCCCUUACAUUGUCGUAGAUAUCAGCAAUUAAAAGUCCAAAUUUGUUAUUAGUAUUUGAAAAGUGUGAAACCUACGAAUUCAAGUUAAUCAUUAGAAAUUGAAGCAAUUAUGUUAGCAGUGUGACAAUGUGUUGUCUACACAUUGUCACAAGUGAGAAAAAAUCUCAAAAACUGCAAUGAAAAAUUCCACAAGCAUAACGGAAAGCAUGUUGCAUCAAAGAAGACAAAUAAAUUAUGAAAAUCCUACCAAUGGCAAGAGAGCAAAUAUGGUUAAGAGGCAAAAAAAGUUUGAUUAGUUCAUAUAUGGAGAAGUACAGAACAUGAUUAAAUGCGUACCACAUCCCGAUGUGAUGAGCGAGAUUAAGGUCAAGACCAACACUAUGUAUGCAAGAAGAAGACGAAGCCCAAGGCCAUGUUCUGUUUGAUCAAGACUUUCAAGUUGCAAAAAGUAAUUAGAUAUUUGACCGCAUUGAACGGAACCGUUUUAAACGCUUAACAAACCGAGAAUUCACUUUAGG